rnacentral:misc_RNA from 1 species
ACUCACUCAUCACGAAAUCUCCGAAACUAUAACACCUACAAACUUGAAAUUUGGCAGGUAGGCUCCUUAUAAGACGUAGGCAUCCGCUAAGAACGGAUUUUACGAAACUCGACCCUAAGGGGGUGAAAUGGGGGUUGCAAGUUUGUAUGAACGUCCUAUGAUUUUGAAGUAAGAGACUUGAAAUUUAAAAUGUAUGCUCUAUAGAUGAUGAGAAGGUGUUUAAAUAAUAUAUCUUUAGAAA